rnacentral:sRNA from 1 species
AAGCUCUUUUUGAGCUUUUUUUCUUUUGUAGUGACCUGAAUUCUUGUUUAUUAGAAAAAAAUAAGCUAUAAUAAAGCAUAGCACUUAAUGUUAGAAAGAAGGUGUAAGU